rnacentral:rRNA from 1 species
AGACCGAUAGCGAACAAGUAGAGUGAUCGAAAGAUGAAAAGCACUUUGAAAAGAGAGUUAAACAGCACGUGAAAUUGUUGAAAGGGAAGCGCUUGCAACCAGACUCCGCUCGCGGGGUUCAGCCGGGCUUCGGCCCGGUGUACUUCCCCGCGGGCGGGCCAGCGUCGGUUUGGGCGGCCGGUCAAAGGCCUCCGGAAUGUAGCGCCCUUCGGGGCGCCUUAUAGCCGGGGGUGCAAUGCGGCCAGCCUGGACCGAGGAACGCGCUUCGCACG